rnacentral:rRNA from 1 species
GACGAACGCUGGCGGCGUGCUUAACACAUGCAAGUCGAACGGAAAGGCCCUGCUUUUGUGGGGUGCUCGAGUGGCGAACGGGUGAGUAACACGUGAGUAACCUGCCCUUGACUUUGGGAUAACUUCAGGAAACUGGGGCUAAUACCGGAUAGGAGCUCCUGCUGCAUGGUGGGGGUUGGAAAGUGUCGGCGGUUGGGGAUGGACUCGCGGCUUAUCAGCUUGUUGGUGGGGUAGUGGCUUACCAAGGCUUUGACGGGUAGCCGGCCUGAGAGGGUGACCGGCAACAUUGGGACUGAGAUACGGCCCAGACUCCUACGGGAGGCAGCAGUGGGGAAUAUUGCACAAUGGGCGGAAGCCUGAUGCAGAAACGCCGCGUGCGGGAUGACGGCCUUCGGGUUGUAAACCGCUUUCGCCUGUGACGAAGCGUGAGUGACGGUAAUGGGUAAAGAAGCACCGGCUAACUACGUG